GAAGAAAACUGCAGACACUGGCAAAUACCAUGGUCCAGUGAGGAAUUUUUUGUUCAUUCUGAAAAUCACAUCGCCAGAUCCAACACCUUUUUAUCCCAAUCACCAGUACAAGCCACCCGUAUCAGUGUACACUGUGGCUGACCGAUCCAUAGUGAUGCUUUGAGCACAAGGAAGGACUUUCUGGAAUCUACUUAUCUGACCAAGAAAGCUUCUUUCCAAAAGAAAUGCAAUUGUCUUGAGACUUCUUCCCUAGGGAUCUGAUCAACUAACCAGAAAAGAGCAACCACCAGAGAAGAG
rnacentral:lncRNA from 10 species